GCCUGGGUGGCUUAGCAGUUGAGCGUCUGCCUUUGGAUCAGGGCAUGAUUUCGGGGUCUGGGGAUCGAGUCCCACCUCAGGCA
rnacentral:tRNA from 1 species